AUAUUUUUGAUCUGUUUUGUUUGAUGUGUCUAGCCCACAAAACCUAAUCUGAGAAGCUGAGAAACCAAACGAUGAAUCUCUUCUCUUUCAUGUCGUUCUUUGUCUCUAUUUCUACCGUCUUCUCAUCUUUCCUCCUCAUACAAAAACGUUUCCCGUUUCUUCAGUCGAGAUUGUCUUCUCAUCUCCCGUACUUCCUCCAUCUUUCAUGAUUAUAUAUGUCAAAGUCACCAACAAUAGAUCAAUCCAAUUGUUUGUUUUAAUUUCAUCACCUACACUUCAAUUCGAAAUACAAUUUUCCAGUUUCAAAGUUACAUCGACUUGGGAGUACUCCGGGUAUCAUUGUAAAAUGCCUCUAAUCAUGUUUUCGGAUUUCGCCUAACCAUGUAUCAGAUCCCUGUUUGCUUCAUCAUCCCUUAAAUCAGAGAAAUAUGAGUCGUACCAUGGUGAACAAGGCCUUAAAGGCUAACCAAAUCAGAACCGGAGCUGAACGCAAGAGAUCUUCUGUGGCAUGUUUAGCCUUAGGUAUGUCCUUGAAGACGACAGUUCCCACACGAACACAACGGCAACCCAAACUCAGAAGAAACAGGUUUCUGUCGAGUUUCUCAUUCCUGGUUAAAAAAAAAACUGGUGAGAUUUUCAGUUGAUCAUCUGAGGUA